UUAGGGGGUUUCCGCCCCUUAGUGCUGCAGCUAACGCAUUAAGCACUCCGCCUGGGGAGUACGACCGCAAGGUUGAAACUCAAAGGAAUUGACGGGGGCCCGCACAAGCGGUGGAGCAUGUGGUUUAAUUCGAAGCAACGCGAAGAACCUUACCAGGUCUUGACAUCCUUUGACCACUCUGGAGACAGAGCUUUCCCUUCGGGGACAAAGUGACAGGUGGUGCAUGGUUGUCGUCAGCUCGUGUCGUGAGAUGUUGGGUUAAGUCCCGCAACGAGCGCAACCCUUGAUUUUAGUUGCCAGCAUUUAGUUGGGCACUCUAAAGUGACUGCCGGUGCAAGCCGGAGGAAGGUGGGGAUGACGUCAAAUCAUCAUGCCCCUUAUGACCUGGGCUACACACGUGCUACAAUGGAUAGUACAAAGGGUCGCGAAGCCGCGAGGUGGAGCUAAUCCCAUAAAACUAUUCUCAGUUCGGAUUGUAGGCUGCAACUCGCCUACAUGAAGCCGGAAUCGCU
rnacentral:rRNA from 1 species